rnacentral:rRNA from 1 species
GAUGAACGCUGGCGGCGUGCCUAAUACAUGCAAGUCGAGCGAACGGACGAGAAGCUUGCUUCUCUGAUGUUAGCGGCGGACGGGUGAGUAACACGUGGAUAACCUACCUAUAAGACUGGGAUAACUUCGGGAAACCGGAGCUAAUACCGGAUAAUAUUUUGAACCGCAUGGUUCAAAAGUGAAAGACGGUCUUGCUGUCACUUAUAGAUGGAUCCGCGCUGCAUUAGCUAGUUGGUAAGGUAACGGCUUACCAAGGCAACGAUGCAUAGCCGACCUGAGAGGGUGAUCGGCCACACUGGAACUGAGACACGGUCCAGACUCCUACGGGAGGCAGCAGUAGGGAAUCUUCCGCAAUGGGCGAAAGCCUGACGGAGCAACGCCGCGUGAGUGAUGAAGGUCUUCGGAUCGUAAAACUCUGUUAUUAGGGAAGAACAUAUGUGUAAGUAACUGUGCACAUCUUGACGGUACCUAAUCAGAAAGCCACGGCUAACUACGUGCCAGCAGCCGCGGUAAUACGUAGGUGGCAAGCGUUAUCCGGAAUUAUUGGGCGUAAAGCGCGCGUAGGCGGUUUUUUAAGUCUGAUGUGAAAGUCCACGGCUCAACCGUGGAGGGUCAUUGGAAACUGGAAAACUUGAGUGCAGAAGAGGAAAGUGGAAUUCCAUGUGUAGCGGUGAAAUGCGCAGAGAUAUGGAGGAACACCAGUGGCGAAGGCGACUUUCUGGUCUGUAACUGACGCUGAUGUGCGAAAGCGUGGGGAUCAAACAGGAUUAGAUACCCUGGUAGUCCACGCCGUAAACGAUGAGUGCUAAGUGUUAGGGGGUUUCCGCCCCUUAGUGCUGCAGCUAACGCAUUAAGCACUCCGCCUGGGGAGUACGACCGCAAGGUUGAAACUCAAAGGAAUUGACGGGGACCCGCACAAGCGGUGGAGCAUGUGGUUUAAUUCGAAGCAACGCGAAGAACCUUACCAAAUCUUGACAUCCUUUGACAACUCUAGAGAUAGAGCCUUCCCCUUCGGGGGACAAAGUGACAGGUGGUGCAUGGUUGUCGUCAGCUCGUGUCGUGAGAUGUUGGGUUAAGUCCCGCAACGAGCGCAACCCUUAAGCUUAGUUGCCAUCAUUAAGUUGGGCACUCUAAGUUGACUGCCGGUGACAAACCGGAGGAAGGUGGGGAUGACGUCAAAUCAUCAUGCCCCUUAUGAUUUGGGCUACACACGUGCUACAAUGGGCAAUACAAAGGGCAGCGAAACCGCGAGGUCAAGCAAAUCCCAUAAAGUUGUUCUCAGUUCGGAUUGUAGUCUGCAACUCGACUACAUGAAGCUGGAAUCGCUAGUAAUCGUAGAUCAGCAUGCUACGGUGAAUACGUUCCCGGGUCU